rnacentral:rRNA from 1 species
UACGUGGGCAGCAAGCGUUGUUCGGAGUUACUGGGCGUAAAGGGUGUGUAGGCGGUUCUUUAAGUUUGGUGUGAAAUCUCCCGGCUCAACCGGGAGGGUGCGCCGAAAACUGAAGGGCUAGAGUGCGGGAGAGGAGAGUGGAAUUCCUGGUGUAGCGGUGAAAUGCGUAGAUAUCAGGAGGAACACCGGUGGUGUAAACGGCUCUCUGGACCGUAACUGACGCUGAGACACGAAAGCGUGGGUAGCAAACAGG